GUUAUAUGUCUCUUUACAACUGUGAAGUCUGAGCAGUAUCCUAAAUGAUUUUGCAUUCUUCUGUGUAGCUUUGACACCAGCUAAUUCUAAGUUCCUUAAUGAUAUAGUUUGGCUGUGUCCCCACCCACAUCUCAUCUUGAAUUGUGGCUCCCAUAAUUCCCAUGUGUUGUGAAAGGGACCCGGUGGGAGAUAAAUGAAUCAUAAGAGCAGUUUCCCCUAUACUGUUUUUGUGGUAGUGAAUAAGUCUCAUGAGAUCUGAUGGUUUUAUAGAGUCCUGCCAAUGAGAUGUAGACAGAAGUCUACUGAGACUGGCUUCUUUUCACCAACAAAAAGACAAAGCCCUUCAAGGAGAAGUCUUUAGGCCUAAUUGCCUCAUUUUUGCCUGGAACAUGGAUGUGAUUUCUGGAGGCGCACCAGCCACUGCAGGGCCCUGUUCAUAAAGUUAUGGAUGCUCACAUGUGCAAAGUUAAAGGGCCACAUCUGGUGAGGGCUUUCUUGCUGGUGAGGAUUCUCUGAAGAGUAUUGAGGCAGCAGAGGACAUCACAUGACAGAUUUCUUCCGAGUCACCGGUGGGAGCUUCCCAGGGAGAUGCGGCUUUAUUCCCUCAUGGCAGACAGGAGGAGGAUGCUGAGCGGGAGCUGAUGCCACCUGGCAGCAAUGGUGGCACAGACUGCUGGAGAGGCACAGAUUGGAACCCAAGCCUCAUCAGACGGCAGCUGUGACAGCGGCAUAUUUCAAAAAUGUAUUGCAAAUUUCACACAAGGGGUCUUUAAAAAAAUUUGAAAGUCUCCUUGGCUUUCACAGACUUUUAAUUAAGAGAGAACUCCUCUUCUUUGAAAAUCAAAACACUUUUUGCCUAUUUUAUGUAUCUAAAGGUAGAUGGGAACUUACAGCCACAUUUAAAAAAUUUGCAGUUGAUUAUGUGGUUUUCAAAUUUAAUAACCUACUAUGAAUAAUUAACUCAACAAGAAGAAAAGGGCACAUUGGCACCUCACAAUUAAAAGAGUAAGAGUGAAAUUAU
rnacentral:lncRNA from 10 species